rnacentral:lncRNA from 1 species
UGCAUAUUAUGCAUGUAUGUCUUCCUGGUACCUUGUACCUUUCCAAUGGUUCUUUUGGCUUUUGGAGACCACAGAAGCAGCAAAAGGGCAGAAUCAAAAGACCAGAGGAACAACUUUGGGUAAGGUUCAGAAGACAUGUUGGGCCACUUGUAGAGACUGAGACAAAGUAAGAUGUUAAAGUUCUUGAGUUGAAGUUUUUUCAUAAUUCAGCAUGUUUCAGGCACCAUUCUAAGUACCUUUCUUGUAUUUCCCUCCAUUUGAAUCCUCCCAGCCAUCCUACAAGGCAGUUUAACUCUAAAAUUUUUCUUAUUUUACCCACAUGAAGCAAGUGGUUCACAGUAACCUGACUAGUAAGUGGCAUAACAGAGAUUUCCACUGUCCUCCUGAGGCUGCUGCCCAUUGUAUAUCAAAUACACUGACAAAACCAAGUCGGGAACCAUGUUACUUUUAAGACUAGUUUUGUUUUCUGAGCUGUAUUUGUCUGACCUUCACUGAACUCCUUUCCUGAAGCUCUUGGUGGGUUUAUCUAAGUGGAGUGAGAAUACAGUCCUGAAUUCAUUGUGCUGACUUUACAACCCAAGCCCACACCCUCCUUCCGACCACACACAUGCAGCACACUCACGCAUGGCUAAUGCACAACCACACAUAUAUCCAGUGACAUAUCUUAAGGUUAUAUGUGCUGGGCAUUUUGCAAAAUUGACCCUUCAGGCAAACAAGAAUACCAGAAAUCUCCAUUUACCCUUCAUCCAAGCCAGGGAUCUCAUGGAUCCUAAAGGCAAUGUUAGAACACCCAAGCAUCUGUCUAUACACUUUUCUUUUGUUAAUUCCUUUAAUUUAGAACAAUUGUUGCCUAACUAUAAAAAUUACCAUAUAGAGAGUUGCAUGCAUUAAACCAAAGGGUAGCCAUGAACAUGAUGGUCACAGAGGCAACCCAAUCAAAACAUCCCAGAUGAGCACCCCAGGUGAAUCCCCACUGAGAGCUGGCUCAUUGUCAAAAUGCUUCCAGGAUUUAGAAGUUCUCCAACCACCUCCUCCUCCAGUGUCCUUCACUCCAACUCUGGAG